GAUGAACGCUGGCGGCGUGCCUAAUACAUGCAAGUCGAGCGAAUGGAUUAAGAGCUUGCUCUUAUGAAGUUAGCGGCGGACGGGUGAGUAACACGUGGGUAACCUGCCCAUAAGACUGGGAUAACUCCGGGAAACCGGGGCUAAUACCGGAUAACAUUUUGAACCGCAUGGUUCGAAAUUGAAAGGCGGCUUCGGCUGUCACUUCUGGAUGGACCCGCGUCGCAUUAGCUAGUUGGUGAGGUAACGGCUCACCAAGGCAACGAUGCGUAGCCGACCGGAGAGGGUGAUCGGCCACACUGGGACUGAGACACGGCCCAGACUCCUACGGGAGGCAGCAGUAGGGAAUCUUCCGCAAUGGACGAAAGUCUGACGGAGCAACGCCGCGUGAGUGAUGAAGGCUUUCGGGUCGUAAAACCCUGUUGUUAGGGAAGAACAAGUGCUAGUUGAAUAAGCUGGCACCUUGACGGUACCUAACCAGAAAGCCACGGCUAACUACGUGCCAGCCGCCGCCGUAA
rnacentral:rRNA from 1 species